CAAACAUUGGUACUUUUGAGAAAGAGGAGAGAAUUAAAAUGGUACUAGGCCGGCGGGGAAAUGCCGCGGGACCUGCUGUGCUGAUAAUCCAACGUGUGAUUGCGCCACGCUUCGAAAAAAGUUACCAAACGGCUCAAAAAUAAAACGGAACCAUCACAAGUCACAACUGCGCCACCUCGCCCUCCCCGACAACAAUCAAAUUCUAGAGACCCAGUCAGAAAGUGAGUAACCGUUUCUGCAAUGGCGGGUUUUAGGGUUUUGUGAGCACUGAGCACAGAGCCUCCAUGGAAAUGCCUGCCAGAAGAUCCAUCAACUACUCCCUCCUCAGCCAAACUCCCGACGACAAAUUAACGCCGCCGUUGUUCGGUUCCUCCUCCGGCGACGCUAAAAUCAACAACAGCAAGUUCGAGAGAGUCUCCGAUUGGGACUCCGGCGUCGAUCACCGCCAGGGGAAUCGGAUCGGGAAUUUGCACUCCUCGUUUGGGAUGCAGCGGCAGUCCAGCGAGAGCAGUUUCGGCGAGAGCUCGCUCUCCGGCGAGUUUUACGCGCCUAUUCUGUCGACCGUCGCGGCGAAUGAGAUCGACGGAUUCAGAGGCAGGUUUCCGGGAAAUUCGGCAAUGAGGAGCGGAGGUUCCUCUGGCAAGAGCUGGGCGCAGCAGACGGAGGAGAGUUAUCAGUUACAGCUGGCAUUGGCUCUUCGGCUUUCAUCGGAGGCCACGUGUGCUGAUGAUCCCAAUUUUCUGGAUCCCGUGCCCGAUGAAUCCGCGUUGAGGCCUUCGUCUUCGUCGUUUUCCGCAGAGGCAGUGUCGCAUAGGUUUUGGGUGAAUGGAUGCCUAUUAUACUUCGACAAAAUUCCUGAUGGCUUUUAUCUAAUUCAUGGGAUGGAUCCAUAUGUAUGGACUGUGUGCACCAAUCUGCAGGAAAAUGACCGAAUUCCUCCACUUGAGACACUAAAAUCUAUAAAUCCUUCUUCUGACUCUUCACUUGAAGUAGUUUUUGUGGAUAGACGUAGCGAUCCUAGCUUAAGAGAACUGCAAAACAGAGUACAAGACAUUUCUUGUUGCUGCAUAGAAACAACUGAUGUUGUAGACCAGCUUGCGAAGCUGGUUUGCAAUUGUAUGGGGGGUUCAGCUUCUGUAUGGGAAGAUGAUCUUUUUCCUAUAUGGAGGGAGCGCAUUAAUGAUCUAAGAGAUUGCUUAGGAUCUGUUGUUGUACCAAUUGGCAGUCUAUCUACUGGACUUUGCAGGCAUCGUGCUGUAUUAUUCAAAGUACUAGCUGACACCAUUGAUUUGCCUUGUCGAAUUGCUAAGGGCUGUAAAUAUUGUUCAAGAGAUGAUGCCUCCUCAUGUCUUGUUCGAUUUGGACUUGACAGGGAAUACAUGGUUGAUCUUAUUGGGAAGCCGGGUUGCUUAUGCGAGCCUGAUUCCUUGAUCAAUGGUCCAUCCUCCAUUUCAUUUUCUUCACCCUUGCGCUUUCCUAGACAUAAACCUGCUGAGCCUACCAUUGAUUUCAGGUCACUGGCCAAACAAUAUUUCUCAGAUUGUAUGUCUGCUGAGCUUGUCUUUGAUAGUAGUUCUGCAGAACAGUAUGAAAGGCAGUACAUGGGCAGGAACCCUGGGCCAAUUCCAAAUGAUAACAACAAAAGUUCUCUCGUUCCUCUGCAUUCACAACCUUAUUGUUCAAGUGCACAUGAUCGAGGCUCUGAAACAUUUAAAUCAGGUAACCCUGCUCAGAAUGCUGUAGAGCCGACAAUGACAAGCCGGGAUUCAUUGCCUUUAAAGCAUAACCGUCCUGGUCAUAGAGAUACAAAGACCCGACUACUGAUUCCUAGCAAACCAACUAGAGAGUUUUCCCUUGAUAUGGAGGAUUUGGACAUACCGUGGACUGAUCUUGAUUUAAAAGGGAGAAUAGGAUCAGGUUCUUUUGGAACUGUACAUCAUGCAGAGUGGAAUGGCUCGGAGGUUGCUGUUAAAAUUCUGAUGGAACAAGACUUCAAAGGUGAACGCUUCAAGGAAUUCCUGAGGGAGGUUGCAAUAAUGAAAGGCUUACGGCAUCCAAACAUUGUUUUACUUAUGGGUGCAGUCACUAAGCCUCCUAAUCUAUCAAUUGUCACAGAAUAUUUGUCAAGGGGUAGCUUGUAUAGGCUGUUGCAUAAACCUGGUGCCACAGAGAUGUUGGAUGAGAGACGUAGGCUUAGUAUGGCUUAUGAUGUGGCUAAGGGGAUGAAUUAUCUUCAUAAACGCAAUCCUCCCAUUGUUCAUAGAGAUCUGAAAUCUCCAAACCUUCUUGUUGACAAGAAAUAUACAGUGAAGGUUGGUGAUUUUGGGCUUUCCCGACUAAAGGCAAAUACAUUUCUCUCAUCCAAGUCUGCUGCCGGGACUCCUGAGUGGAUGGCUCCAGAAGUUCUUCGUGAUGAGCCAUCCAAUGAGAAGUCAGAUGUUUACAGCUUUGGUGUCAUCUUGUGGGAGCUCGCAACAUUGCAACAGCCUUGGAGUAAUUUGAAUCCGCCACAGGUUGUGGCGGCUGUUGGCUUUAAGGGAAAAAGACUUGAGAUACCACGUGAUUUAAAUCCUCAAUUAGCCUCAAUAAUUGAGGCUUGUUGGGCCAACGAACCCUGGAAACGCCCUUCUUUUUCAAGUAUUAUGGAUUCUUUGAAAGUAUUGCUCAAAUCCCCUAUGCUUCAACCUGGUCGUCCAAGCAUGUCAUUACUUACCUGAAUGGUUGGAAUCAUAGUUGUUAUUCAUGCACAUACUACAGGGUUUUUAGUUUUGAUGUCCAACAGGAAUACACUGUUUCAGUAGUCCCAGAGGCACAGUUGUACAUUUCUGUUCUAAUUCGGAUUAAGAAUACCUAUUUUCAACGCAAAGCCAGGAUACUCCAUCUUUAUUCCAACAAAAUAUGGUUUAGUUAGGUGAUACUAUAUUUUGUGAAGAAAUGUAUAAUUUUUUUCAUCCAUAAUUUUGUAUGAAAAAUAUUCUCAUUGUAAUUAUAAUCAGUUAAUGAUAAGCAGCUUUAACUGUCUUGGCUGCUUGAUUUUUUUUUGGCGUGUUUUUCAUUCCCCCUUAAUCCAGACUCCAGAGUGUAGUGUUGCUUUUCCAGUUAAGCAACACAGUUCGAUACAAGGGUUGGAUCAGUAGGUCGACUGUCAUCAACAUUGAGAUACCAUUUUAAAUACAAGCAACUAAAGCAUGGCAAAAUAA